rnacentral:misc_RNA from 1 species
UCCCGGUUAACCCGGGCAGUCUCAUUAGAGUUCCCACCUUAAAUGUUGGCAACUAAUGAUAAGGGUUGCGCUCGUUGCGGGACUUAACCCAACACCUCACGGCACGAGCUGACGACAGCCAUGCAGCACCUGUGCAAUAGUCCCGAAGGAACAGCCCAUUUCUGGACCUGUCUACUGCAUGUCAAGCCUGGGUAAGGUUCUUCGCGUUGCAUCGAAUUAAACCACAUGCUCCACUGCUUGUGCGGGUCCCCGUCAAUUCUUUUGAGUUUCAGCCUUGCGACUGUACUCCCCAGGCGGUAUACUUAACGCGUUAGCUCCGGCACAACUAGGGUUGAGUCCAGUUACACCAAGUAUACAUCGUUUACAGCAAGGACUAC